UACGUAGGGGGCAAGCGUUGUCCGGAAUUAUUGGGCGUAAAGCGCGCGCAGGCGGUUUCUUAAGUCUGGUGUGAAAGCCCACGGCUCAACCGUGGAGGGUCAUUGGAAACUGGGGAACUGGAGUGCAGGAGAGGGGAGUGGAAUUCCUGGUGUAGCGGUGAAAUGCGUAGAUAUCAGGAGGAACAUCAGUGGCGAAGGCGACUCACUGGGCCAUUACUGACACUGAGGUGCGAAAGCGUGGGUAGCAAACAGG
rnacentral:rRNA from 1 species